CUUGGCUCUUUUUCCAAAAAGAAGUGUUUCAAAAUUGUUUGACGUCCCUGCUCUGGGAUGUCUACAAAGAGACAAAUUGUCCUUUCAUAUGAGUUGACCUGGCAAUGAAGCAUGGCCUGUCCCUUUUGCUGUCCAGAAAUCUCCCAAACUUGUGGCCGGUAACCUCUUCCUUUCUAUCCUUUCCGAAGAUUCCCUUUGGAUGGAAGUCAGCUGUGAAUGCUCUCCUGAUUUGCAUUCAAUUGUAUAAAUUGUCAUAGCAUGUCACCACGGAGACUUCCUUGUUCGUGUCUAUAUGGUUCAUACAUGGCCUUCCCCUUAAUUAAAGAUGUCUUCCGAGGAACAUUUUGUCUAAGCCUGAUUGAACCCCAACCAGAGGCUGAGGCAGGAGAAUCACUUGAACCCAAGAGGCAGAGGUUGCAGUGAGCCGAGAUUGCACCAUUGCACUCCAGCCUGGGCAACAAGAGCAAAACUCCAUCUCAAAAAAAAAAAGAAAAGAAAAACUAGAACCUCAUUUAUUACUACUGAGAACUGUAGAACUGCAAAGUGGUUCUAAAGUUGUAGAACCACUUUAGAAAAAAUUGGGCGAUUUCUUGUAAAGUUAACACAUUCACUGUAUGAUUCAGAAAUUUCAUUACUAUGUUGUAUGUAAGAAAUGAAAACACAUGUCUACAAAAGAAUUAUAUAUAAAUGUUUAUUGUAGUUUUAUUUGUAAUAACAAAAAGCUGGAGACAAUUCAGAUAUUCAUCAAACAGUGAAUGGAUAAACAAAUCGUGAUAUAUUCAUUCAAUGGAACACUUCUUCAGCAAUAAAAAGCAAAAAGCUACUGAUACAUGCAACAUCAUGGCUAUGUCUCAAAAUCAUUACGAUGAUGAAAGAGGGUAGAGUAAAUAAUAUGUGAUUCUAUCUAUACAAAAUUGUACAGCAAACAAAACUAGUUUGCAAUGACAGAAAGCAGUUUAGUGGUUGUGGUUAAAGGUAGAGUUGGAGAACUUUUUUUGGAGUGAAAAUGUAUGUUCAAUAUAUUAAUUGUGGUCAUGGUUACACUAAUGUUUAUGUUUUUCAAAACUCACAAAACUGUAUUAUGUAUAAAUGCAUAUAAUAUAUUGUAUGUAAAUUUGAACCUAAAUUAAAUUGAUUUAAAAAGAAAAAAUCAAUAAAAAUAUUAAGAAAUACACUUCUAAAUAAACCGUGAGGCACAGAGUCAAUUAUAAUGGAAACAAAAAAAAUUUGAAUUGAAUGAUAUUAAAAAUAUUAGAUGUCAAAACUUCCUGUUAAACAAGUACUUAGUGGGAA
rnacentral:lncRNA from 10 species